rnacentral:rRNA from 1 species
UAGGUUAACGAGGCGAACCGGGGGAACUGAAACAUCUAAGUACCCCGAGGAAAAGAAAUCAACCGAGAUUCCCCCAGUAGCGGCGAGCGAACGGGGAGCAGCCCGGAGUCUGAAUCAGCUUGUGUGUUAGUGGAACGGUCUGGAAAGUCCGACGGUACAGGGUGAUAGUCCCGUACACGAAAAUGCACAUGCUGUGAACUCGAAGAGUAGGGCGGGACACGUGGUAUCCUGUCUGAAUAUGGGGGGACCAUCCUCCAAGGCUAAAUACUCCUGACUGACCGAUAGUGAACCAGUACCGUGAGGGAAAGGCGAAAAGAACCCCGGCGAGGGGAGUGAAAAAGAACCUGAAACCGU